GUAGAAAGUGCUGAAACUGACAAAAUGAAAUCCCCUGCCUGCAUGGAACCAGCUGUUACUGGUCUGGAAACAAUAGAAAAAUGUUAUAGAGAGUUUAUUGUGCACCUAUUACAGGCUUUCUCUGACUCACUACCUAGUAAACCUGCUGGGUGUUUUAUAAUGUUCCUUUCCCAGUAGAGAAAUGCAGAUCAAAGGAAGAGGUCUGAGUGGGGCAGUUGUUUGAUAGUAUUCUAGCACUGUGAGUCAGCAGGUAACAGGAGGGCUAGCAUCCUGCCUCCAAGUGGGGGAUUCUGGUCCCUCUGGCAAGCACUGGGGAGUUGGGAACAGGGCAAUUAACCUGCUCCAAGGAGGGAGGGCCAUGGUGUUCACUGAAGAAUAUGCCAGUGACAGGGACCCCUAGGCGUAAAGGUCGGGCAGGAAGGACCUUUGUCAUGGGGCCUUGCAUAAAAUGCAGCAUGGACAGGAUAUAGGGCAGGGCCAGAGUAGGUUGGGGGUCUGCAGGGGCUGGAGGCUGCAGGACUGUGUGGGCUAUAAUGAAUCAGGGCUUUGUCUUGCAGAGAUGGAGAGAUAGGGAAGCUUCACCGUCUGCAAAGAUCUUCUAGCUGCUGUGUGGAAGAGGACAGGCUGGAAGAAUGGAAGAAUUUGGACACUGUCACGAUACCGUGGGGGAGGCUGGUCAACCCAGGGCAUGUUUGGGUUUCAGAGAUGUCUGAAGACAGAACUGGCAGAUCUCAGUGGUGGCGCUAAAGAAGGGGACCAGAAUGAUCUCCUGGUUUCUAGGUUAGGCCUCUCCUCCCAGCCCCCCAACUCAGCAAUCCCUUUCAGGUCUCAAACUGGCUGUGCCCUCCUUGAGGAAGCCUAAACCACCCCCCUACAACGUCCUGAAGAGGCAGGCCCUGGACCAGGCAGCCGGGAGAUUGAUGUGACUUCGAAGGCAGAGGAGCAAGCUCAUUCCUGUCUUCUCCUCCAGCCCGAGACUCAAAGACUCAGGAGCCGGGAUGUAGUGUUGAAGGAUGGAGACGUCCCAGCUCACCCAGGCAGGCAUUGCCUCCUGAAGUGAGCGUUCACAGCCAAACUCAUGCAGAAUCGCAACCAGCACAGAGAAGCCCUCCAGAAAACUGUGGGCACUGUGGCCGCUCGGUCAAGUCCAGCCCCACUGGUAUCUCCAGCGUUGUAUGCAUCAUCACUUCUGAUGAGCACCUGAUGAGGUCAAGUCAAAACUCAAAGUUUCUGUUUCGAUGCAAAAAAUGUGACUUAGGUUUCAGCUCUGAAAUUCUGUUCUGGGUAGUGAGCUGCUCACACUUCAUUGGAACUAGGACUCAUGGAAGGAACAAUAAGUUUAUGACCCUGAUGUUACACUCACUCCUGGCCUCUUUAGAUGCUCUUUGCUUUCUCUUGUUUCUUUUUAUCUUUGUAAGUUAUUUCGGCUUGUAAUUUUUCUUUGUUCUCUGUUUUUUUAAUACCACAUGUUUUGUUUAUUCAAAAAUUCAGUAGCAAAAGUUAAAUAAACAUAUUGGUAAAACAAAUGAUUGUGAAACAAUUACUUCGUUAUUUUCUUCCAGAUUUUGUCAGUUGGUUCUGCCAAUGUACAUAUUUUGUUUCAGCAACACUAAUAGGCGCAUUUUUCCAUAUAACACCUGUGAGAAAAUACGGAGGUCUACAGCUUUGAGUUGAAAGAAAUUU
rnacentral:lncRNA from 9 species